UCAAUAUUAUCCUCCUUGUUGGACUCUUUCCUUUCUGAAUGGUUGAAACUGCACACAAGAAACAGAUACACAAAGAGGAUAGAUUUCUAAGUAGAAGAAAAUCAGCAGAAACUAAAGGAUAAAUUAGCAAUGAUAUCUUAAAAACCGAUUAUAAAAUAUGUUCUUGUAGCACUUUCUAUUCCAAAUAAAAAUAAUGUCAGAAGAUGUUUAAUGAAAGUUAAAUAUUGGCCCCAGAAAACAUUUGUAGAACAUCAUUCAGGAGACUAGUUUAUUAUUUUGGUGUCUGACUUUUUAAAAAAUAUAAUUUAAAUUUUCAGGAAGAAAUGAGAAAGUCCACAAUUGACCUUCUGGAAAUAGAAACCAUGGAACUCAGCAGACUCUACUUCCUGCUGGAGAUGCUGCCUGAAAACAUGAUCACGGAGCUCGAAGGUGCUUUUGAGGUUAUCUGCUGUAGAGAUGUAGAGUGUAAGAAAACAGAACCAAGUACUUUAAAAAGGAUGAGUCUGAUAGCUGUUGCUUGUAUAAAUACAGCUAGAAAUAUUACCUGACAGGAAUACAGUGCAAUCCAUAACCAUUUUCCAUUACAUUUUAAGCAGAAAUAAUGAAACUUUAAUUUCCAUAAUUUCAUUUCUAAAUAGACUAAACAUAAAUGAAUUAGUUCAUUCUGAUUUACUAUUUAUCCAAUUAAAUGAAGCAGCUUGACUGGCCUAAACCACCAUUCCAACUGAUUUUGGCAACUCUAGGUAUGUCACCUUCAUGGUAUCAUAUUUCAUACAGCAGAAUGUUCUUCAAGGUUCACUCACAUUGUAGCACACAUCAGAAUUUCCUUCUUUUGUAAGGCUAAAUAAUGCUCCAUUGUAUGGAUUCACCACAACUUCGUUUAUCCAUUCAUCAUCUGAUGGACACUUUCAUUGCUUCUAUUUUUUUGGCCGUUGUGAAUAAUGCUGUUACGAACAUGGGUAUACAAAUAUCUAUUUGGGACCCUGCUUUCAAGUCUUUGGGUUUACAUGCAGAAAUUGAAUUGCUGAAUCGUAUGGUAAUUCUAUAUCUAACUUUGUGAAGAUCCAUCCGUGUUUUCCACAUGGCUGCACAAUUUUACAUGACCCCCAGCAAUGUAUGGGGCUUCCAGUUUCUCCACAUUCUUGCCUACACUUGUCAUUUUCUGGGUGGUUUUUGUGUCUUAAUGAUAGCCAUCCCCUUGAGGAUAAAUUAGUAUCCCAUUGUGGUUUUGAUUUUCCUUUCCCCAAUUGCAUUAGUCAGCUUUUUUGUCACUCUGAUUAAAAAAAAAAAAAAAAAACCUACAAGAACAACUUAGAGAAAGAAAGAAAAAGUUUAUUUUAGCUCAUGGUUUAAGAGGUUCAGUUCACAUCUAGCUGACUCCAUUGCUCUGGGCCCAAGGUGAGACAGAACAUCAUGGUGGAAGAUUGUGGUGGAGAAAAGCAGUUCAGAACACGACAAUCAGAAAGGAGAGAGAAAAAUGGGGGGAGUUGGUGCCAGAGAAAAAAUACGUGAUGCCCCCAGUGACCUACUUCCUCUAGUUACAGCCUACCUACCUAUAGUUACCAUUCAGUUAAUCCAUUCAGUGGGUUAGUCCACUGGUUAGGUUAUAGUCUCAGAAUAGGAUCAUGAAACCAAUGAAUAUCCUUGCAUUGUCUCAGAUGUGAGCUUUUAGGGGACACCUUAUAUUCAAAGCAUAACAUAAUGAUUAGUGGUGUUGAACAUUUUUUCAUAUGCGAAUUGGCUAUUGGUGUAUCUCUUUUGGAGAAAUGUCUAUCCAUGUUUGUGGUUGUCAUUGAAUUCUUUAUGUAUUCUGGAUAUUAGACACAUGAUUUGCAAACUUUUUGUCCCAUUUCAUGGAUUGCAUUUUUACUCUUUUGAUAGUGACUUUUUUUUUUUUUUGGUACCAGGAUUAAACUCAGGAGCAUUUGGCCACUAAACCAAAUUCCCAGCCCUAUUUUGUAUUUCAUUUAGAGACAGGGUCUCACUGAAUUGCUUAGCACCUUGCUUUUGCUGAGGCUGUCAUUGAACUUGCGAUCUUGCUACCUCAGCCACUGGGAUUAUAUGAAUGUGCCACCAGGCCCGACUUAAUAGUAACUUUUUAUGAACAAUAUUUUUAAUUUUGGUGUAGUCUAGUUCAUUUAUUUUUCUUUUGUUGCCUUUGCAUUGUUUCUAAGAAGUCAUUGCCCAAAACACUGUUUUUGAAGUUUUACCCUGUUUUUAGUUCUAAGAGUUUUGCUUUUGCUGUUUUGUUUUGAUUUACAAUGCUGGGAAUUGAUCAGACCCCAAACUUCAUGCUUACUAGGCAAGUGCUCUACCAUGAUCCAUACCAACCCAUAGGAAUUUUACAGUUUUAGCUUCUAAAUUGAGGUCUUUGAUCUAUUUUUUAAAAAAUUGAUUUCUGUAUUCAAUGUAAGGUUAGGGCCCAACUUCAUUUCCCCAGCUGCAAGAGUGUCGAUGAAGGCUCUUAGCUGACUUUCUCUCUAGGAAUUGCCUUAGACAACAGAGAGAGAGAGGCUUCACCCUAGGUUACACUUCCUGCCUAGAUGCCAUCUACAUUCAGUGACCUGUCACUUCGAGGGUACGAUCCCUGGCUCCCUCACCUCAGAGCAGAGCAGCCCUGAAGUGUCCUCCAGUCCCAGAACUCUUCACGGCUCCCAACCUCCCUUCUGUCCAGCCCUGAUUUUUUUUUAACCUUACCAGGGGAAACACACCUAAAAGCACUAUUCAAUACAUUUUCUAGAUACAAAUUAUAGAAUCCAUUUCCCAGGGAACCCACCCUAAAUGAGUGGUCCUAAUAAAUAAAUUCUAAAAAUUUUUCAAAGACAGUCUUUUUUUAAAAAUAGAUAUUCCAAUUAUCACUUGUUGCUCUCAAUUCCAAAUCUACACUUCAAUUAUUUGCUCUACAGUAUGGGAACCAGGCACUAUAGAUUUCUCGCUUCUCAACUAGCAGGCACAAUGUUAAAUUUUCUAGUAGAAAGUACUAGAGGAAUAGUGGAGGAGGAUAGGGUUCUCUUCCUGUAUCCAGUAUGGUAGGCUUGGGCAACUUGAUUCUUGGAGCAUGAGUAGCUUCAGCAUGCCAAGGUUUUGCAAUGCCCAGCUGGUCUGGAGAGCCCAGCAGUAUCCCCAUGUACCUUUUGGAUAGUUUCAUGAUAAAGAACAACCAAGAAGCACCUCUCCAUGAAGAGUUUGCCCUGCACUUCUUUAGGAAAUUUUGCAGUGAGUUCUGAAGCAUGGCACCUCCAUAUGGAUGGGUUCUCCAACACUCAAGGGUGGAGUUCUAGUAAGUUCUACCAGCUAAGCAUUUCAUGAACUUUUUUGCCAUUCAGUGAGAGACAGCCCUCUCCAAUGAGGUCUACCUUUCAGGGCUGGAGGGGCUGUUCCCUUUUAUCUCAGCCCUAGGAAUGGUGACUACUGCUUAUACCUGCUAUUCCUGAAUUCUUUAGAGUUCUCUUGAAUCCUUACAUUCAUUCCCUUAUUACUCUAAUCCUCUGUUUUAGUUAAUUGCUCUUUAUAAUAAACUUACUUUAUUCAAUUUAUUGUAAUAUUUCUAUCUCCUAAAGAGACCUUGAAUGAUAGUGUAGGUUAUAAAACAAUAUGCUUGAUAUUAGUUUAGUUUGACAGGGAAAAUGCAAAAGUUUAUGUGCAGAGAAAUAAUAAGACGUAGAAGAAUAUGCACCAAAGGCAAAAUUUAGAGUGUUUUUGCUUAAUUUUCUUUGUUUGCCUUUCUUUAUCUUCCAUAUUCACUUACAGAAAAAAAUAGUUUAGAAGGAAAAAAAUAUCUAAAUUUAAAACCAAGAAAAUUUAAUAAUUGAUUUUAUGUCAUAAAGUCAUACUGUUCAAAGUGUGUGGUCUUUCAUCCAACAGGUUAACAGUAUCUGGAAACUUGUUAGAAAAUGCAGUCUCUGAACUCACCUCAAACCCAUGCUGUAGCAUUAGAAACUGUAUUUAGCAAGAUUCCCAGAUGACGGAUAUGCAUAUUUGAGAAGCUCUGCUAUAAUGAGCAAUUUAACUAGUAGUCUGGGGGUGGACAUGGGGGACUAGAAAAAAAUUAGCCUAGCUUUCUUAGGAGAGGUGCCACAACUUUUGUAUAACAAUGGGUAUUCCAGCAUCUUUCAAAACAAUAUUGUUCAAAAAUUCACAUAUGUGACCCUUAAUCUGUCAAACACUGGCUAAUCCUUUGGAGUCUUAAGAAGUAUGUUGAUUUGUCAUUUGUUUAUGAAUAACUAGUUCUUUAAUACAUUGAUUCCUCAGCAAACAGAGUCUGAGGCAAUGGUUUUUGCACUAUUACUUCCUAGGGAAUUCAAUCUAAAGAGGAGGGUAGAAAAGAUGGAAAGAUUUAUGCCCUGACUCCUGUCCAUCAUUGAUUUAAUAUUUGCCAUAUCUGCUGCAUUUCUGGUUUAUACAUGGGUGUGGCUAUCCAUAGAANCAGUGUUAUUCGUGGUGCAGGCUAACCAGAGACAACUCUAUGUAGUAGACUCUCUAAGCCAAUAACCAGAGAAACACUGCCAGGCUGGAUAUUCUUAUCAACUGGUCAGCAACAUCAUACCCCUAUAUUCCUAUAAUUCUCAAACUUGAAAGAGCAUCAAAUCACCCAGAGGACUUGUUAAAACACAGAUUACUGGUAUGUAGUGGGUUGUGGUGGCAGGGUGGGGGCAAGAGUCUGCAUUCCUUACAAGUUGCCAGGUUAUGCUGAUGCUACUGAUCCUAACCACACUGGAGAGUCAUUGCUGUAGCCAAAUCUUUAUGGAAAGGCCAAUUACAGAGAAGGAAGUUGCUACAAUCACUUGAGGCAUCUACUUUUCAAAGAAAGAUGCAUCUCAAGGUUCCCACAAGCUCUGACAGGUGAUAAGUAUAUCUCCUUUCUCAGAUGGUCCUGAAAAGCUGGAAAAAAGGGCAGCUGUUUGGAUGUGGUUUUGUUAGGUCCCAGGUUGUGUUUUAGGAGUGCUCUCUUCUCAACACAACACAACCCACCUAGUUAGAUUUUUGUUGUUGUUGUUGUUUGUUUGUUUGUUUUUUAACUUGCUUUGCUUUCGUGAGGCUCCUCAAUUCUGGGGCUGAUCCAUUUCUAGGAGGCUUCCUGGGCUAGACCCACAAAGCAUCUACUAUCUGACCUCCUCUUGGAGCCUCUUUCCUAGGCUUCUUUUUAUUGCAUUUCUGUAGAGUUUGACUUCUAUAAAAAAUAAAUCUAUCAACAGCCCCAACAGCCUGCUUCCAUUUUCCUGAGGCUUCAAACACCCCCGCGCCCCCGCCGCCCUGAGUUAAAGUCCUUAACCUCAGGGACUGGAAAAAGUAAAAGAUCUUUAUGUUUCAGGAGUUUUUAAAAAGUAAACUAGAGAAAUGAACUAAUGAUCCCCUUUUCAUAUCUUUUACUGUCAGAUGUUUUUCCUGACAUAAGGUCUCCUGUGGAUGGAGGAGGCCAGCAUGUGAGGUUGAAGACUCCCUUGGUCCUCAGACCUGACAGAGAUGGGAGGAGGGUUGGACUGAGGUCUCAAGCAUCUUUGAGACAGUAAAGAUGGACUCUUCCUCCUUCCCCUAUUGUUUCUGUUCAGAGGAAGACUAUCUUUCUCUUGGGCCUACCUCAGAGUGUCUUGGAGAUAUGAUGGGAUGGUUAUCUUUUUUUUUUUUUUUGGCUUAAUGACAUAUCUCAGGUUGAUUGAUUAAGACCGAUGCAUAUGAAAACAUUCAUCUGGCCAGAUCCCAUUCACCUGUUCAAAACUACCUUUGAAUCACUUUAUACUUUAAUCCAAAAUAUCCUGUAGUUACUACAUGGCAAUCGAUGGGGUAAAGGGAACCCAUAUUGACACUUUUGCAGCAGAUGAACAAUUGCUAGGUUGACAUUUGUUUUGUGUUUCCUUUUGUCCUUGUAUCAACUAAAUUAAGAUAAUCACAAACACAGCUAGAAAAUACGUAUCCAUUACAUUUUUCCUCUUCACAAGGGUUCAUCUCAUCAAACACUCUUUAAAUUUCUUUUCUAAGUGCCCUCCUUUUUAUGCUGGGAAGGAUUCUUUCUUCCCUAGUGAAAAGCAAGAAGAGAUGUCGAAGCGGCAUACAGAGAUUGUCCUAGCACUCAACCAGCUGAUGGAACAAAAAGCCACUACCACAGUUAACAUAAAUGAUAUCUGUACCAAAAUCAAAGAGGAUAGAAAAGAAACAGAAUUGCAUAAAGUACAUCUGCAAGAGACAGAGGAGUUGAUGUCAAAAGAUAAAGAAGAAUAUUUGAUAAGAAAACAGCAAUUGGCUGCAGAAGUAAGUGGCAUGAUUUUUUUUUAAGAUACAGAAUGAUUUAGAAUCUAAGGCAGAAAUGGAAAAUAAUUGUCCUCAAGGCUGGCAAAUGCUCUUUAUGGUGUCUUCUGUGAACAUUGGGCAGGAAUAUCAGACAUUUGGAGUCUCAUGGAGAAGACACUUGAUUAUAUCCCAGCAUCUCAAUUAAUGGGAAAGAAUAUAAGAGGCAGGAUUUGUAACCUCAUGGUGGCCCUUGCCUAUAGGCCAAAUAUGCAGCCAUAGAGGGAAGAAGGACUUGCCACCAUGUUAUCUCGUUGCCUUUGGCAGUCCUGGGACUGUUUCUGUGUGGACAGGGCCAGCUAAUUCAAACAGAACACCUGUUCAUGCCUGCCACUUCUUCUAGAUGAACCUGAGAGAUCAGUGGCCCUGCAGAGGAGCUGUCCAGAGCCAAGGGCCUAAAGAUCCAACAGUGUUCUGAGGCCAGCAUGUAAGGGUAGGGCUGGCAAAGCUACCUCAUCUUUUACUGCACCCCAAAAGGCUGUGUAUCUGCUAUGCUGUGUUAAUUGAAAUUCACCUUCAAAUGGCUUACGAUCAUUUCAUCUGUGAAAUUUCUUUUGCAGUACUUCUGGUUACUCCAGAAGAGGCAGGGCUGUCUCCAUAUUAGGUGUACCCAGCAGCAGUCUUCACCCUCCCUCUGCAAGCUGGGUGCAUGAUGAGGAUUGCUGUGCAGCUCCUGAUGCUGCUCUUUCCAAGAUAGCAAUUGGCAUAACCUUGGUUUAUAAAUGCAGCAAAUCAGACUUGGGCUGGCAGGCACUAUCAUCUUAAAUAGGAAGGGAGAGGGAGAGGGAAAGAGGAUGGAAAGAAGGGAAGAGAAGGAAGGAAAGAAACUUGGUUUAUUAAAUUGUUUUUCUUGAGUCUUAAUUAAAAUUUAAAGAAAUAAAACCUGGCAGUGACCAUUGGAAAUCAGGUGUGAGCUGGGUUUUUUGUUGUUGUUGUUGUUUUGUGUUUAGUUGUUGUUGUUGUUUGUGGUGCUGGUGAAUAAACGCAGGGCCUUGUGCAUGUGAGGCAAGCCUCCACAAACUGAGCUGUAUCCCCAGCCCUAGGUCUGAGCUUCUUGAUCCUUAAAAAAUGUCAAUUCUUCAGAAAUAGUUUUACCCUAAAACCAUGUAUUCCUGAGAAUAGAGAGCCCAGCACCACUGUUUGUUGUAACUGGCAUUUUAGUAAAAGAGCUAACAAGGAGCCCAUCUUGGUCUGUUUGUGCUGCUAUAACAAAAUACCUGAAACUGG
rnacentral:lncRNA from 1 species